rnacentral:rRNA from 1 species
CCUACGGGUGGCAGCAGUGGGGGAUAUUGCACAAUGGGGGGAACCCUGAUGCAGCGACGCCGCGUGGGUGAAGGAGUGCUUCGGCAUGUAAAGCCCUAUCGGCAGGGAAGAAGCAAGACGGUACCUGACUAAGAAGCCCCGGCUAACUACGUGCCAGCAGCCGCGGUAAUACGUAGGGGGCGAGCGUUAUCCGGAUUCACUGGGUGUAAAGGGAGCGUAGACGGCCAUGCAAGUCAGAAGUGAAAGCCCAGGGCUCAACCCUGGGACUGCUUUUGAAACUGCCGGGCUGGAGUGCAGGAGAGGUAAGCGGAAUUCCUAGUGUAGCGGUGAAAUGCGUAGAUAUUAGGAGGAACACCAGUGGCGAAGGCGGCUUACUGGACUGUAACUGACGUUGAGGCUCGAAAGCGUGGGGAGCAAACAGGAUUAGAUACCCUUGUAGUC